GUUGUGGAACAUGGCGGCAAACUGUCUGUGGGUAAGGAGGAACAAAACGGUCCAAAUACCAGUGCGGUGUUGUCAUGAAGAGCCUUCAAGCCUGCGUAAAGCAAGAAUCAAAGAGGGAGAGGGGGAAAAAAAGCCCGAACAGGUGAAGAGGAGCCUCCUGCCUGGAAAUCAAAUCAUCUGCUUAAUGUAUGGGCUUAUCUUGAUUGGCAGAUGGCCGUGCGAAAGCGGAGACAUAUAGCUGUGCGGCAAAGGCGACCGGGGCUGGACUAUGUGCACGGGUCUGGACGAAGAGAGGCCAGGGAGCGGAGGGGUGGUGGUGGGGGGCCCAGUGUCUGGGGGCCAGUUUCCCCUCGGGACCACUCGAAAGGACUCCGGCGACCUUCCGACUUCCUCCUCCGGCAGGUCGCGCCGAGAGGUCAGGGGUCGUUUGAAGCAACAGGGUGUGAACGUGUUACCAGACAAAUGGGAUCAAACAACAACUGGACUCUCUUGAACAUGGAGGUGGUUUGAAAUUCCCUAAUUCGGAAUGUUUUGGAUCUGACCUCGUCCGUGCUUAUUUAGUGUUUGAAUCCAAGAGGACAUGCAGAAGAUGAUUUAGUGGGAGAGAAACAGCUUCCAAAGUUGAACACGCUGUACGUUGCACGAUAAACGUCUCUCAGAUCUCAGAGACACGUCGGCCACUCUGUAACAAAAGCGAAACAACAAACCCACGAUACGGACGGUCUCGCACGGCAUCAAGAUUCAACGCAUGCGUGUGCCACCCGAGCCGAUCUGUAUUUACGCUGCCGGCUAAUUGACAGGCUGCGAAAUAAAUGUCUCCCUUUGUCCAGAACAAUGUUCAGAAUUUGCCGCCUUCAUUCCAAUCAGUUUCUCAGUUCCUGAAAAACAGCGGCGAGUUACAUUGUCUUAAUUAGGAACAUAGGCUCGCUUUACAGCGACGUGUGGGAGGACCCGGAGGUUGAAGUGCUCCGCGAAUGCAAUGUGCAUCAUCAUCCUAAUAAAAUAUAACCCCUGAAAAUUAACUCUGCUCGACCUGAGGCACGCAGAACGACGGGGUACAAUGAUGCAGGUUUCGGUUGCGUGUGUGCGUGUGUGCAUGCUGAUGUGUGCGUGUUUCUAUAUAAGUGCAUUCGCAAAUGUGAAGCCACAAAGGAAGCAAUUACGGAAACAAAAUGUUUGUUAUUGUAUUAAUUCCGUUAUUGGCGAGGAAAGGAGAAAAUCCCACUGAGGACGAAAAAAGCAAACAAACAAACAAACAAAAAAAAAAAAACGUGAUGCAGCCUGCAGCUCCUUUGUCCUAAGUCUGAGCCCCACAUUGGCCCAAAGUGCAUCAAAGUGUCAGCUACUCAAACAUGAAAAAUGGAUGAAGACAACGGUGCAAUUCUCACAUUCUUUCUAAUAAACUGUCAAUCAAGCGGGCGCCGUGAAUGACGCUAAUAUCAUAUGAGGCAGCAUCCCAUAUCAAAGAUCUCAUCGAUGAUCAUUCCCCCCAUGGCUCAAUCUGAGGCCUGUCCUCCCCCUCGUAUUAUCGCCAUCAUCAUUUGGACAUGAAAGGAGAGAAACAAGUGCUGCGCCAUUGCCAAGGAGAAAACCUUGAUCUCGGGGCAUUUGCAUUCGCCACCUUGUCCCGCUGGAUGUAUGAACGAGUCGCCGAGGCGCUCUGUGAUUGGACGCCGGUGCAAAAACACUCUGCUAAUGCUCAAAACAAGCAGCCCCCCCCCCCCCCCUCCGCCCUCCUCCUCCUCCUCCC